UAGUCCACGCCGUAAACGAUGUCAACUAGCCGUUGGGAGCAUUUAAGCUCUGAGUGGCGCAGCUAACGCGAUAAGUUGACCGCCUGGGGAGUACGCCGGCAACGGUAAAACUCAAAGGAAUUGACGGGGGCCCGCACAAGCGGUGGAGCAGGUGGUUUAAUUCGAUGAUACGCGAGGAACCUUACCAGGGCUUAAAUGUAGACUGACAGCUUUAGAGAUAGAGUUUUCUUCGGACAGUUUACAAGGUGCUGCAUGGUUGUCGUCAGCUCGUGCCGUGAGGUGUCAGGUUAAGUCCUAUAACGAGCGCAACCCCUGUUGUUAGUUACCAGCACGCAGUGGUGGGGACUCUAACAAGACUGCCGGUGCAAACCGUGAGGAAGGUGGGGAUGACGUCAAAUCAUCACGGGCCCUUACGUCCUGGGGCUACACACGUGCUACAAUGGUCGGUACAGAGGGGUUGCGAAGCCGCGAGGGUGGAGC
rnacentral:rRNA from 1 species